rnacentral:rRNA from 1 species
AACGAACGCUGGCGGCAGGCUUAACACAUGCAAGUCGAGCGCCCCGCGAGGGGAGCGGCAGACGGGUGAGUAACGCGUGGGAAUCUACCCAUCUCUACGGAAUAACGCAUGGAAACGUGUGCUAAUACCGUAUACGUCCUUCGGGAGAAAGAUUUAUCGGAGAUGGAUGAGCCCGCGUUGGAUUAGCUAGUUGGUGGGGUAAAGGCCUACCAAGGCGACGAUCCAUAGCUGGUCUGAGAGGACGAUCAGCCACACUGGGACUGAGACACGGCCCAGACUCCUACGGGAGGCAGCAGUGGGGAAUAUUGGACAAUGGGCGCAAGCCUGAUCCAGCCAUGCCGCGUGAGUGAUGAAGGCCCUAGGGUUGUAAAGCUCUUUCACCGGUGAAGAUAAUGACGGUAACCGGAGAAGAAGCCCCGGCUAACUUCGUGCCAGCCGCCGCCGUAAGAC